rnacentral:rRNA from 1 species
CUCGUGUCGUGAGAUGUUGGUUAAGUACCCGCAACGAGCGCAACCCUUGUCCUUAGUUGCCAGUCAUUAAGUUGGGCACUCUAAGGAGACUGCCGGUGUUAAACUGGAGGAAGGUGGGGAUGACGUCAAGUCCUCAUGGCCCUUAUGUCCAGGGCUACACACGUGCUACAAUGGCCGGUACAAAGGGCUGCGAUACCGCGAGGUGGAGCGAAUCCCAGAAAGCCGGUCUCAGUUCGGAUUGGGGUCUGCAACUCGACCCCAUGAAGUCGGAGUCGCUAGUAAUCGCAGAUCAGCAACGCUGCGGUGAAUACGUUCCCGGGCCUU